AUUGAACGCUGGCGGCAGGCCUAACACAUGCAAGUCGAGCGGAUGAAGGGAGCUUGCUCCUGGAUUCAGCGGCGGACGGGUGAGUAAUGCCUAGGAAUCUGCCUGGUAGUGGGGGAUAACGUCCGGAAACGGGCGCUAAUACCGCAUACGUCCUGAGGGAGAAAGAGGGGGAUCUUCGGACAUCACGCUAUCAGAUGAGCCUAGGUCGGAGUAGCUAGUUGGUGGGGUAAAGGCCUACCAAGGCGAGUAUCCGUAACUGGUCUGAGAGGAUGAUCAGUCACACUGGAACUGAGACACGCUCCAGACUCCUACGGGAGGCAGCAGUGGGGAAUAGUAGACAAUGGGCGAAAGCCUGAUCCAGCCAUGCCGCGUGUGUGAAGAAGGUCUUCGGAUUGUAAAGCACUUUAAGUUGUGAGGAAGGGCAGUAAGUUAAUACCUUGCUGUUUUGACGUUACCAACAGAAUAAGCACCGGCUAACUUCGUG
rnacentral:rRNA from 1 species